rnacentral:rRNA from 1 species
UUAUUGAUAUGCUAAGUCAGCGGGUAGUCCUACUGAUUUGAGGUCAGAGUUCAAAUGGUCCUAACCUGCGCGUUCGUCGGCCUCACGACCGACUAGAAUUAAGGCUGGGGUCCAAGAUCAAGCCUCGCGCGUUCGUCAGUCUCACGACCGACUAGUAACUGAGGUAUAGAUUAGAAGCAUUCAUGCAUUAAAAGUCGUAACAAGGUUUCCGUAGGUGAACCUGCGGAAGGAUCAUU